AAUAGAUACCCAGGUAGUCCACGCCGUAAACGGUGGGCACUAGGUGUGGGCGACAUUCCACGUCGUCCGUGCCGCAGCUAACGCAUUAAGUGCCCCGCCUGGGGAGUACGGCCGCAAGGCUAAAACUCAAAGGAAUUGACGGGGGCCCGCACAAGCGGCGGAGCAUGUGGCUUAAUUCGACGCAACGCGAAGAACCUUACCAAGGCUUGACAUACACCGGUAACGUCCAGAGAUGGGCGCCCCCUUGUGGUCGGUGUACAGGUGGUGCAUGGCUGUCGUCAGCCCGUGUCGUGAGAUGUUGGGUUAAGUCCCGCAACGAGCGCAACCCUUGUCCCGUGUUGCCAGCAGGCCCUUGUGGUGCUGGGGACUCACGGGAGACCGCCGGGGUCAACUCGGAGGAAGGUGGGGACGACGUCAAGUCAUCAUGCCCCUUAUGUCUUGGGCUGCACACGUGCUACAAUGGCCGGUACAAUGAGCUGCGAUACCGCGAGGUGGAGCGAAUCUCAAAAAGCCGGUCUCAGUUCGGAUUGGGGUCUGCAACG
rnacentral:rRNA from 1 species